GACGAACGCUGGCGGCGUGCUUAACACAUGCAAGUCGAACGGAAAGGCCCUGCUUUUGUGGGGUGCUCGAGUGGCGAACGGGUGAGUAUAACGCGAGUAACCUGCCCUUGACUUUGGGAUAACUUCAGGAAACUGGGGCUAAUAACGGAUAGGAGCUCUUGCUGCAUGGUGGUGGUUGGAAAGUUUCGGCGGUUGGGGAUGGACUCGCGGCUUAUCAGCUUGUUGGUGGGGUGGUGGCUUACCAAGGCUUUGACGGGUAGCCAGCCUGAGAGGGUGACCGGCCACAUUGGGACUGAGAUACGGCCCAGACUCCUACGGGAGGCAGAAGUGGGGAAUAUUGCACAAUGGGCGGAAGCCUGAUGCAGCAACGCCGCGUGCGAGAUGACGGCCUUCAGGUUGUAAACCGCUUGCGCCUGUGACGAAGCGUGAGUGACGGUAAUGGGUAAAGAAGCACCGGCUAACUACGUG
rnacentral:rRNA from 1 species